UUUAAAGAAGACUGUGAGUGUCAGCACAUAAAAAGGUAAUCCUGUCUCAAUUGUAGCUACAGAUUGCAAGUCCUGUGUCAAUUCAAAUUUUUGCCAGCAGAUACUAAUGACUUCAUUGAAAGCAGAUGUUUAGAAAUGAAAGUAUAAACACAACCCCAGUUGAUUAAUAUGCUUAUUGUAUUUCCUUGUUGUGAGUCUAGCGAAUAUUUGAUUAUCUUUAAGUUGAUCCAUAGUAUAUUCAACAGUCUCAUGAGAACAUAAUUUUUGUUGAUGAUUUGUCCAAAGUUUCUAUCAAUCCAUCUUAGCAGCAGAGCCAAGUGUUAGAGUUAUUGCUGCCUGAGUUAUAACAGCUGCCCUGGGAAUCUUGUCUGAACAACAAGUUAACUGCUGUUCCCAGUUAUAUCUGGUCUUUCCCACCCCCAAACAUACACAAAAGAUUUUUGUCAUUCUUGGCACUGGACAACAGAAGUGAUAAGACAUGCCAGCAGAACUCUAAAGGCAGAAUGUCCUUCCACCUGUUUUAUGCUGUAAGACAAACUUCCAAGUGCGAGGCAGUGUGGAGGGCUGUUGCCUUGAAUGGCAGCUGAAUGCACCAGCGGGAUCCUUGGCAGCAAUGCCCAGGCACUGAAGUCGGGCAUUCAGGAGAGCUAAAUGGAGAAAAGAAACUUGAGCAAACUGCUUCCUGGAACACUGAGAACCUGAAUGGGAAAUUAAGAAGAACCAGAUUCUUUCUAUUCUUCCACCAGCCAAGCAACUUCAGGAUGGGGGAAUCAAGCAAAACCAUGGUGAAGAGAUUCAUUUAAAGAGGACAAGUGAUUUAUUCUACAUCUCAGGAGACAGUUCCUUAAGGUGAUGAGCACAAAAGGAUCCAUCUUAUACAGUGCUUGCCAGCUUCCAUAAUACUACUCACCACGAUGUUGAAAUCACCUGUUCCAGAACCAGUCCUGUCCUUUGACAAGAAGGAUUUAAUUAUCAGUAGUGGUGGGGACUGGCUGGAGAGAGGAAAAACACUUCAAGGACUCUGCCACCUUUCGUAGAUGGAGAGUGCAAAGUUUGUACCAUGGAACUCCUUCUCUAACAGUUACUCUGUGGCAGUGCCUAUUUCAAACCUCCCUUAACUUCUGAUUGUAUAGAUGUUUGUUUCAUUUGUUCAUCUGUUUGUUCACUUAGUCAGAGAUGUUUUAAGCCUUAAGAGAAAUAGUGGACUAGAAAAUGCCUUGGAAAAGUACAAAGUUCAAUCCAAGUAAACUGUUUUUAAACUAGGAAUUUAUGAAGCCUAAAAUAUAAAAUGUAUAUACAUGGAUAUGCUCUGAAGUGAGGUAGAGGGGUAGAAAUCAACAUUGUGAUAUUGUACUAUAGUUUUGCAAGAUGUUACCAUUGGGGGAAAAUGUUUGAAGGGUAUACGGGAUAUCUCUGCCUUAUUUCUUACAACUGCAUGUGAAUCUACAGUUAUCUCAAAAUAAAAAUUUAAUUAACAAUUGAUUACAA
rnacentral:lncRNA from 1 species